ensembl:lncRNA LINC00877 long intergenic non-protein coding RNA 877
GGGGCCCGCUGGGGAAGCAUCCGCGGCUUGUGGUGGCUGUGGUUUUGUGCCCAGGACUCACACGUAAAAGGAGCUCAUUCGGAGGCAGGGGCACGCGCUUGUCCCCAGAACUCAAACCCCAGAGUCCCUCCGGCAGAUGAGAGUGGAGGUUGUAAAUCACCCUCCAUGCAAUGGUUCAUCAUAAAGGAUAUGGAGCAAAAUUAGAGGAGGCACGAGAAGGAAAGCCGGUGAUGAACAAGGCUAUUGCUUAAAGACUGAAUGACAUGGACCCCAGAGUUUAUGUGAGUUACUGUAAAAAUCAGGGCUUCACUCCCAACUGAGAGCCUUGCAGAGUGAGGAGUUUCUCUAGAGACCAUCUGAUAAAUGCGGGCUCCCACACGCAGAGAUGUGAGCUAGAGCCGUGCAGCAAAUAAUAUAUAUUAUUUUCUUCUCCGCUUAAGGUCCAAA